rnacentral:rRNA from 1 species
UACGUAGGGUGCGAGCGUUGUCCGGAAUUAUUGGGCGUAAAGAGCUCGUGGGCGGUGUGUCACGUCGGCCGUGAAAACUUGCAGCUUAACUGUGGGCGUGCGGUCGAUACGGGCAUCACUGGAGUUCGGCAGGGGAGACUGGAAUUCCUGGUGUAGCGGUGAAAUGCGCAGAUAUCAGGAGGAACACCGGUGGCGAAGGCGGGUCUCUGGGCCGAUACUGACGCUGAGGAGCGAAAGCGUGGGGAGCAAACGGG